rnacentral:rRNA from 1 species
AUGAACGCUAGCUACAGGCUUAACACAUGCAAGUCGAGGGCAGCAUGGUCUUAGCUUGCUAAGGCCGAUGGCGACCGGCGCACGGGUGAGUAACACGUAUCCAACCUGCCGUCUACUCUUGGACAGCCUUCUGAAAGGAAGAUUAAUACAAGAUGGCAUCAUGAGUCCGCAUGUUCACAUGAUUAAAGGUAUUCCGGUAGACGAUGGGGAUGCGUUCCAUUAGAUAGUAGGCGGGGUAACGGCCCACCUAGUCUUCGAUGGAUAGGGGUUCUGAGAGGAAGGCCCCCCACACUGGGACUGAGACACGGCCCAGACUCCUACGGGAGGCAGCAGUGAGGAAUAUUGGUCAAUGGGCGGAAGCCUGAACCAGCCAUGCCGCGUGAAGGACUAAGGCCCUACGGGUCGUAAACUUCUUUAGACGCAGAGCAAUAAGGUCCACGUGUGGACCGAUGAGAGUAUGCGUAGAAUAAGCAUCGGCUAACUCCGUG